rnacentral:pre_miRNA from 1 species
CCAUGUGAUGAUGAUCUUGUUCAGUCUGGACCAUGUGAUGAUGGUCCAGACUGAACAAGAUCAUCCUCACAUGGUCCAGACUGAACAAGAUCAUCAUCACAUGGU